GAAAAAUUGCAUUUCAGCAAAAACUCUGGAAAGACUUGUCUGCUAGCUUGAGGACCUGGUGGCAGCUUUUUGUCUCUGCUUACAUUUAUCUAUAUCUUCCACCUUGUGGCAACUUCCUGCCCUUGGAAAACCUAUUUAGUAAUUCGGACUAUCAUCAGCAAAGGGCUCAGGAUCUCGGUUUGGGUCCUGCCACUGAAAGAGGUCACUUCCUACCAGAGGCCGUCUAGGAAGCCAAGAAACUCCUGGUGGGAGCAGUGCAGAUCCCCAAGAAACUGCAGUAAGACUGUAGCCCCUGGAAUCUUCUGGGCAAGGGGCUCUGGAAGGUUUGCGUUUGGUUUGAAAUGGCAAGCCCAGGAAUUUUGAGCAGAUUCUGACAGGCCCAAGCUCUCCCAGUCCUACUUUUCAUCCGUCAGCGAUUGACUCAGAAUCCCUCGGCCAGACGGAUGAAGACUCCCAGCUGUCA